UGGUUCUGGCAUCGAUGAAGAACGCAGCGAAAUGCGAUAAGUAAUGUGAAUUGCAGAAUUCAGUGAAUCAUCGAAUCUUUGAACGCACAUUGCGCCCUUCGGUAUUCCGGGGGGCAUGCCUGUUCGAGCGUCAUUAAACAAUCAAGCCCCGCUUGGUCUUGGGUACGGCCCCCCUGGGCCCACCCGUAACUCGUUGGCGGUAGGUACCGGCCCCUCGCGUAGCAAGCCUUUCGCUCAGGGUGCUGGCCCGCUGGCCACCUGUGGGGACUCGACGAUAGACCUCGGAUCAGGUAGGGAUACCCGCUGA
rnacentral:misc_RNA from 1 species